CUCGUUCUUCGUCCGUUCUUUCUGGAUCUCUCUGUUCACUUUCGAAUUCCACAAAUUAAAUUUCGAGCUCCACCAAACAUGGGCGACGGCAAGGUCAAUCUCCCCGACGAUCUCUUCUCCUCCAAGCCCUCUGAUUCCAAAGGAACUAUCCUCUGUUAAUGGCUACAUGGAAGGUUGCCCCUGUUCUGGCAGCUGGUUGUGCUGCGAUAUUGAAGCCUUCCGAAUUGGCAUCUGUGACAUGUUUGGAGUUGGCUGACAUAUGCAAAGAAGUGGGCCUUCCUCCGGGUGUACUAAAUAUUCUCUUUAUGUAUAAUAGAUUAGAAAUAAAUCUAGUAACUGAAGAACAAUGAAUAUACGAGAAUCUCGUACACCAUACGUCUAAGAUGUAGCGCAUUGGAAUUGAUACUGAAGCACUCAAAGAGCACUUUGGGAAGAAAAUUAUGGAGCUUGAGGAGGAAAAAGAAAAGUGCAGGAAGUCGUGAAAAUAAGAAAUGAAGACAGUAAACAGUAUUUUCUUAUGUUUAUGUCUUUCUUUUCACAAUUAUGAAAACAGAAAACAUAAGAAUGAAAACAAGGAAUCAAAAUACUGUUUACAGAAAUCUCAAGAUGUUCAUGGCCAAAAAUUGAAAGCACUGGAAGCACAGCACAGAUUUUAGACCUCAAGAAGAAACAAGAAAACCAGGUGCAACUACUAAAGCAAAAGGAGAAGAGCGAAGAAACUGCAAAAAAACUAGGAGGUAGAAUAUAUUCGCAAGCUCAUAAAACUUUUCGAGGUUGCCUAUCGUCUUCGAGAACUCAAACCUGGGGAGGCUGUUUUGGAUUGGCCUACGAGAAAAAAAGUGGCUCUAGGAACAGCCCGAGGCCUAGAAUAUCUUCAUGAGCAAUGCAAUCCUAAGAUUAUUCAUCGGGAUGUGAAGGCAGCUAAUGUAUUACUGGAUGUGAAGGCAGCUAAUGUCACUUUUGUAGCUAUAUGUCACUAGUUAUUGUUUGAUU